ACGCUCGACACCUACGGGAAGGCAGCAGUGGGGAAUAUUGCACAAUGGGGGAAACCCUGAUGCAGCGACGCCGCGUGAGCGAAGAAGUAUUUCGGUAUGUAAAGCUCUAUCAGCAGGGAAGAUCAUGACGGUACCUGACUAAGAAGCUCCGGCUAAAUACGUGCCAACAGCCGCGGUAAUCUGAGCGGGCUGGCAAGGC
rnacentral:rRNA from 1 species